rnacentral:lncRNA from 15 species
UUGCCUUCUGGGAAAUUAUUCAAACUAGUUCCUGACUCCAGCCUGCAACAGCUGAAUAUUUUUGGUUAACCUGAAAUCAAGAUCACAAAUGUCAUCCUGUACUUCUUCAUCAACACAUGGCCUAACCUGUGAGACUCCAUUUCUGGAAGUAUGCAAGUAGAAGAUGAUCUGCUGGAUCCUGCUGCUCAUCAACCUGCCCUCCUGUGUCGGUGGUUAGUUUACACCUUUAUGUCUGCUGUAAAGUUGGACUGAGAACCUAAUUAUCCUAUUGAAUGGUUGUUGAUGUCGGUGGUUACACACUAACACAUUAACACUAGCCUCAAGCUCUGGUUUAACCCACAAUUCGAAACUGGUAGAUUAAUGCAAACACAGAUGUCAUAGUUGUACGGGUUAUACUGUCUGGUUACUGAGAAGUUAAUCCACACUUUCUAGCCAAUCAGAAUCCAGAAGUCUGAGUGUAUGGCAAGAAAUUAAGGUGUUUGGCAUAGAUUUUAUUUAAAUGUGAACUUUCCAUGUCUUAUUUUUCAAGAUUGUAUUUUUUUUAAAUAAAAUGAUGAAUUAAAUGAAAAUAAAGGUCUAUGUUGUGUUUGUUCCUGACUUCAGUAAAGUUUUU